rnacentral:tRNA from 1 species
GUUUCUAGUAUCUUAGUGGUCAGAGCAUCCAUCUAAACCAAGGAGGGUCAUGGGCUCAAAUCCUAUCUGGAACU